CUACGGGGGGCUGCAGUAAGGAAUAUUGCGCAAUGGAGGCAACUCUGACGCAGCCAUGCCGCGUGCAGGAAGAAGGCCUUAUGGGUCGUAAACUGCUUUUAUUUAGGAAUAAACCCCCGAACGUGUUCGGGGCUGAAGGUACUAAACGAAUAAGCACCGGCUAACUCCGUGGCCAGCAGCCGCGGUAAUACGGAGGGUGCAAGCGUUAUCCGGAUUUAUUGGGUUUAAAGGGUGCGCAGGCGGGCUAUUAAGUCAGUGGUGAAAUCCCGGGGCUCAACUCCGGAACUGCCAUUGAUACUGAUAGUCUUGAGUUUGGUUGAAGUGGGCGGAAUGUAGCAUGUAGCGGUGAAAUGCAUAGAUAUGCUACAGAACACCAAUCGCGAAGGCAGCUCACUAAGCCAAAACUGACGCUCAUGCACGAAAGCGUGGGGAUCAAACAGGAUUAGAUACCCCAGUAGUC
rnacentral:rRNA from 1 species